rnacentral:rRNA from 1 species
GAUGAACGCUGGCGGCGUGCCUAAUACAUGCAAGUCGAGCGAACAGACGAGGAGCUUGCUCCUCUGACGUUAGCGGCGGACGGGUGAGUAACACGUGGAUAACCUACCUAUAAGACUGGGAUAACUUCGGGAAACCGGAGCUAAUACCGGAUAAUAUAUUGAACCGCAUGGUUCAAUAGUGAAAGACGGUUUUGCUGUCACUUAUAGAUGGAUCCGCGCCGCAUUAGCUAGUUGGUAAGGUAACGGCUUACCAAGGCAACGAUGCGUAGCCGACCUGAGAGGGUGAUCGCCCACCCGGGAACUGAGACGCGGACCAGAGUCCUACGGGAGGCAGCAGUAGGGAAUCGUCCGCAAUGGGCGAAAGCCUGACGGAACAACGCCGCGUGAGUGAUGAAGGUCUUCGGUUCGUAAAACUCUGUUAUUAGGGAAGAACAAAUGUGUAAGUAACUAUGCACGUCUUGACGGUACCUAAUCAGAAAGCCACGGCUAACUACGUG